GAUGAACGCUAGCGGCAGGCUUAAUACAUGCAAGUCGUGGGGCAGCAGGUCUGUAGCAAUACAGAUGCUGGCGACCGGCAAACGGGUGCGGAACACGUACACAACCUUCCUUUAAGUGGGGAAUAGCCCGGGGAAACCCGGAUUAAUACCCCGUAACAUAUAGAAGUGGCAUCGCUUUUAUAUUAUAGCAGCAAUGCGCUUGAAGAUGGGUGUGCGGCUGAUUAGAUAGUUGGCGGGGUAACGGCCCACCAAGUCGACGAUCAGUAACUGGUGGGAGAGCAGGACCAGUCACACGGGCACUGAGACACGGGCCCGACUCCUACGGGAGGCAGCAGUAAGGAAUAUUGGUCAAUGGACGCAAGUCUGAACCAGCCAUGCCGCGUGGAGGAUGAAGGUCCUCUGGAUUGUAAACUUCUUUUAUUUGGGAAGAAAUAUAUCUUCUCUUGGAUAGUUGACGGUACCAGAUGAAUAAGCACCGGCUAACUCCGUGCCAGCCGCCGCCGUAACAC
rnacentral:rRNA from 1 species